UACGAAGGGGGCUAGCGUUGCUCGGAAUGACUGGGCGUAAAGGGCGCGUAGGCGGCUCAUAGAGUCGGGCGUGAAAUUCCUGGGCUUAACCUGGGGGCUGCGUUCGAUACCUAUGGACUGGAGUGAGGAAGAGGGUCGUGGAAUUCCCAGUGUAGAGGUGAAAUUCGUAGAUAUCGGAAAGAACACCAGUGGCGAAGGCGGCUUCCUGGACUCAUACUGACGUUGAGGCGCGAAAGCGUGGGUAGCAAACAGG
rnacentral:rRNA from 1 species